rnacentral:rRNA from 1 species
UACGUAGGGACCGAGCGUUGUCCGGAAUCAUUGGGCGUAAAGAGCGUGUAGGCGGCUUGCUAAGUCUUGCGUGAAAUCUCGGGGCUCAACCCCGAGCGGUCGUGGGAAACUGGCAGGCUAGAGUGCGGGAGAGGAGAAUGGAAUUCCUGGUGUAGCGGUGAAAUGCGCAGAUAUCAGGAAGAACACCCGUGGCGAAGGCGGUUCUCUGGAACGCAACUGACGCUGAGGCGCGAAAGCGUGGGGAGCAAACAGG